AGGAGCGGGAUUUCGCAGCCGAUCCAAGAGGCUUUUCUCCCUCAAACUUUUCUUUUGGCACAGCCCGGGAGUGAAGGAGAAGGCUUUGGUUCCCUGUGACAACUCGGAGAUUUUGAGGGCUGAGCUGCCCUCUGGUGGCACUCAGCCCCAUGCUCCGCGGGCAUGUAAUGCACACUCAACAGUGGGGAUAACUGAGUGGGAGGUGACAGUCGUGUCAGAGGCUGUGAGCAGCCGUGGCUACUCACCACCGAGAUGGAGCUACUUACACCGGCACCCGGGGCUGACCGUGGGCGCUGAGCGAAGGCAGAGGGCUCCCGCUCAGUUGUACGGUCAGUGAAGUCCCGUGGGAGGUGGCGUUUGUCACCGCACCUGCGGAUCAGAGCAAGGCCUGGCACCGAGCCAAGGCCUCACCCGUGCGAUCUCCCUAUAGACUCACAGCAACCCUAAUAUCCUUACAACAGUCCCGAGAAGUGUGUAUUUUGUUGUCCGUUUUACAGAUGCUCGGCAGAGACUGCAGGAGAUUGAUAAUAUCCAGAAAGGAUUAAACAAUGACCACCCUUUAUAGGGCACUUUGCGGUCCACAGAGCAGUCUCGCAUGUGUUGUUUCAUUGGAUCCCCCAAACAUCGAAGAUGACUUUUGUUAGUCUUAUUUUACCGGUGAAGAAACUGGUGCUCAGGGAAGUUGAAGGAGGAGUCGAAGGUGUGGCAUGGUUAAGGAGGUACCUGAGGUCAACGCAAGAACUAGAAGUCAGAUCCAGCUCUUGCUUACUCUGAAUCCCACACUCCUUCCUGCCCCAUCGGAAGUGGCAAGCCAUGUUCACC